AAUGAGGGUUGACUUCGUCGGAGAUCGGCGACCAAAUCAGAUGAAGCGAAAUGCUACAUUCGAUGCCCCAGUCGUACUGAACGCGCUGGGGCGAUCCGUUUGAAAAUCCGACGGACGGAUCUUCGGCAAUUGCGAAAUGUUCGCUGAGGGGUUAAAUUGGUAAAAAACGGAAAAAUCACGAAAGGUCCAAUAUUUUAUGCGCCGUUUUGCGUGAUUUCGAACGUUGAGGGACUUGUGCGCAAUGUGCACGUGCUGGCAGGGGACCUAACUUAAAAUACUAGACUUUGAGGGGGUUUCGUGCAAAAUGACACCUAGUAUAAAGGUGGCAGCUAGGGUUUCUAUGGUCUUUUUACUGCCCAAGUCCACCCAGCUAACCCUAGCCGCCCCACCUGCAUCCCUGCCCUGCCCGUGCUCACGCCCUGAUCGCCGACAAGCAACUCCGGCCUCCGGUAAUCCCUGCAGCACCACUCUCUCCCUUCCUCUCUGCCACCCUUUCCUCCCUCUUGGCUAUAGAACUCGGGGAAGCUCCAAAUCAUCCCCGGAAGCUUUCCCUUGGCAAAGAUCCCUCUCCGGCGUCGUCACCGGCCGUUCCCACCGUCAGCACGUGCCGCCGGAGCCACCUGUGCAAGCCGCGGCCAGCCUGGGUCAGCACGGGCUGAGCUGACU
rnacentral:lncRNA from 1 species